AUGCACGUGUUGCUGCUGCAGCUGCUUCUAGCUGCGUCAGCCCUUUGCUCCUAUGGAGCUGGGCAAAGCCUCAGGCAGCCAAAACCUUGCGCCAGCAGAGCCGUGCAAAUGACUGCACGGAUCAGGUGCCAUUUUUCUGGCUCAGGCUUUCUGAAGAGCUUCAUCCACUGGUACCAACACAAACCCGGAGAAGCUCCAAAGCCCCUUCUCUAUGUAGGGACAAUCUGGGGCCGAGAAGGCGAUGAUAGAGUCCAUCCGACAAUAAAUAAAAUCACACAGCAGCAAGAGGCUACUCUUAUGGCACUUACUGGGACCUCACAUCCUUUGAAAACCACUGGGCAGCUAACACGAAACCUCCUCUGUGCUCCCAAGGGCUGGAAACCUCACCUGACUCCAGGGUCCUGCUUGCCAGGCUGGGCUCCCCCGCAGGAACUCAUUACAGUGAAAGUGGUGCCGCUCAAGUCUUGCAGCAAACCCCCAUAUCCAUCACCAAGCCAGAAAGCAAAACGGUGCUAAUCAACUGCCACGUCUCCCAUCCUGAUUUUAACAAAGUUUUCAUUCACUG